GUGCCCUACGGGAGGCAGCAGUGAGGAAUAUUGGUCAAUGGGCGGGAGCCUGAACCAGCCAAGCCGCGUGAGGGAAGAAGGUACAGCGUAUCGUAAACCUCUUUUGUCAGGGAACAAAGGCGGGGACUAGUCCCCGGAUGAGGGUACCUGAAGAAAAAGCAUCGGCUAACUCCGUGCCAGCAGCCGCGGUAAUACGGAUGAGGCGAGCGUUAUCCGGAUUUAUUGGGUUUAAAGGGUGCGCAGGCGGCCUGUUAAGUCAGCGGUAAAAGCCCGGGGCUCAACCCCGCCGAGCCGAUGAUAC
rnacentral:rRNA from 1 species